AAAAUNUUUUUUAUUCAAGCAUGUAGAGAUGGAUACAAAUCUUAUAGACAUCUGAUAUAUGGAUCAUGGUUUAUGCAAUAUUUAACCCAUGUCUUAUUAAGACAAGCACACGACACUGAUUUAUAAUGCAUAUUAUAUGAAGUUACCAGCAGAAGUUAAUAAAAUUGAUUGUAUAAAUGGCAGAAAACAGUCUAUACAAAUCGACUAUAUUUGAAAUAAUAA